UACGGAGGGUGCGAGCGUUAAUCGGAAUUACUGGGCGUAAAGCGCACGUAGGCGGUUUAGUAAGUCGAAUGUGAAAGCCCCGGGCUCAACCUGGGAACUGCAUUCGAUACUGCUUAACUAGAGUAUGACAGAGGAAUGUGGAAUUCCGGGUGUAGCGGUGAAAUGCGUAGAUAUCCGGAGGAACAUCAGUGGCGAAGGCGACAUUCUGGGUUAAUACUGACGCUGAGGUGCGAAAGCGUGGGGAGCAAACAGG
rnacentral:rRNA from 1 species